UACGUAGGGUGCAAGCGUUGUCCGGAAUUAUUGGGCGUAAAGAGCUCGUAGGCGGUUUGUCGCGUCUGCUGUGAAAACCCGAGGCUCAACCUCGGGCCUGCAGUGGGUACGGGCAGACUAGAGUGCGGUAGGGGAGAUUGGAAUUCCCGGUGUAGCGGUGGAAUGCGCAGAUAUCAGGAGGAACACCGAUGGCGAAGGCAGAUCUCUGGGCCGUUACUGACGCUGAGGAGCGAAAGGGUGGGGAGCAAACAGG
rnacentral:rRNA from 1 species